rnacentral:tRNA from 1 species
GGAGGGGUGCCGGAGUGGUCUAACGGGACGGCCUGGAGAGCCGUGACCUCGUAAGAGGUCUCGUGGGUUCAAAUCCCACCCCCUCCGCCU